rnacentral:tRNA from 1 species
AGCCCCAUAGUGUAGUGGCCCAGCACACGAGGUUUUGGUCCUCGGGACCCAGGUUCGAAUCCUGGUGGGGCUA